rnacentral:rRNA from 1 species
UACAGAGGGUGCGAGCGUUAAUCGGAAUUACUGGGCGUAAAGCGCGCGUAGGCGGCUUUGUAAGUCGGUUGUGAAAUCCCCGGGCUCAACCUGGGAACUGCAUCCGAGACUGCAUGGCUAGAGUAUGGGAGAGGGAAGUGGAAUUUCAGGUGUAGCGGUGAAAUGCGUAGAUAUCUGAAGGAACAUCAGUGGCGAAAGCGACUUCCUGGACCAAUACUGACGCUCAUGUGCGAAAGCGUGGGGAGCAAACAGG